rnacentral:rRNA from 1 species
AUUGAACGCUGGCGGCAGGCUUAACACAUGCAAGUCGAGCGGAGAUGAGGUGCUUGCACCUUAUCUUAGCGGCGGACGGGUGAGUAAUGCUUAGGAAUCUGCCUAUUAGUGGGGGACAACAUUCCGAAAGGAAUGCUAAUACCGCAUACGUCCUACGGGAGAAAGCAGGGGAUCUUCGGACCUUGCGCUAAUAGAUGAGCCUAAGGCGGAUUAGCUAGUUGGUGGGGUAAAGGCCUACCAAGGGGACGAUCUGUAGCUGGUCUGAGAGGAUGAGCGGCCACACGGGGACAGAGACACGGCCCCGAAUCCUACGGGAGGGAGCAGUGGGGAAUAUUGGACAAUGGGGGAAACCCUGAUCUAGCCAUGCCGCGUGUGUGAAGAAGGCCUUAUGGUUGUAAAGCACUUUAAGCGAGGAGGAGGCUACUGAGACUAAUACUCUUGGAUAGUGGACGUUACUCGCAGAAUAAGCACCGGCUAACUCUGUGCCAGCCGCCGCCGUAA